rnacentral:rRNA from 1 species
UACAGAGGGUGCGAGCGUUAAUCGGAAUUACUGGGCGUAAAGCGUGCGUAGACGGUUAUCUAAGUCGGAUGUGAAAGCCCCGGGCUCAACCUGGGAAUUGCAUUCGAGACUGAAUAGCUAGGGUACGGUAGAGGGAAGUGGAAUUUCCGGUGUAGCGGUGAAAUGCGUAGAUAUCGGAAGGAACAUCAGUGGCGAAAGCGACUUCCUGGACCAGUACUGACGUUCAGGCACGAAAGCGUGGGGAGCAAACAGG